GACGAACGCUGGCGGCGUGCUUAACACAUGCAAGUCGAGCGAGGCUCCCUCCUUCGGGAGGGAUGCCCUAGCGGCGAACGGGUGAGUAACACGUGGGCAACCUGCCUCUAGCACUGGGAUAACUCCGGGAAACCGGGGCUAAUACCGGAUACGACCUCUGAGGGCAUCCUCCGGAGGUGGAAAGCAUUGUGGCUAGAGAUGGGCCCGCGGCCUAUCAGCUUGUUGGUGAGGUAACGGCCCACCAAGGCGACGACGGGUAGCCGGCCUGAGAGGGCGACCGGCCACACUGGGACUGAGACACGGCCCAGACUCCUACGGGAGGCAGCAGGUGGGGAAUAUUGCACAAUGGGCGAAAGCCUGAUGCAGCGACGCCGCGU
rnacentral:rRNA from 1 species